AUGGAUAUUAUCAUCCUCCCAAGGCGCACCUCCUGCCGCCGGCCACGCUGUUCGCCCUCCCGCCGCUCUGUUCAACUGCCUCUUCUUUUGCUAGCUAGCAAUAUGUCAGCAACCUUCCUACAACUACUACCUGAACUGGACAGUGGGCCACUCUUGGGCCAUGGGCCUGCGGAGAAGCCAUGGAAAGCAAUGACUACAUAUACGGGUGGAGAUGGAAACGAGCGACUCGGCUUGGAUCGGAAGGCUUCGGCCUGGCUUGGCUGGCUAGCGUCUCUCUCUCUCUCCUCUUUGGUUCCUCAUCGUCUCCCUCCUCUGAUCUCCAUCUUCCUCCAUAUCCUAGCCUCAAAUUUCCAAAUUAAUUUUUUUUUCUCCACCACUGCCUACAACCUGUUUGAAAAAAUGCCAAGCCACAAAUUCGCCUGCCCCAAGGGCGUUCUUCACGCCCGGAUCAGCGACGUUCGUCAGGUGGUCUCCUUCGAGUCGAUUCGCCAGUUGUUCCGCCGCUUUGGUGAUGGAUAUGUGAUCUGUGCUUACGAGCGGAUGGUGGACGGGAUGUACGGCGUGGAGGCGUACAUUGAGUUCCGGUCUCGAUGGAGGGCGGCACGAGCUCGUGAUGCCCUGGAUGGCCAUGCUAUCUAUGAUGGUUGCUGCAUCCUUGCCAUCGACCUCGUCCCGCCGGUCUACACCACCAUCACCAUGCCGGCUGACGACGGGAUGGCGCCCUCGUACUUCUACAACGACACCCCCUACACGGAGUGGACUGCAGCGUUGGCCGCGGCCGAGCGCCAUGAUGAGGCGCCAGCUACAUCCAGCGACGACCUCCAACUCGAGGCGUCCAUGGGUGCCAUCAACGCGCCUGCGUCCGAGCUCGCCGGGCCUACAACAUCAACUCCGUCCGCGACCACCGACAUUGGUACCCAAGCUGCGACACGCCCGAGGAGUCGGCGCUCAGCUCGUCCUCGACACCUAUCUUCAUCCAUGACCAUCGACAAUGUCGUGCAUGAACCUGAACUCGACCACGACAUCGACAAGGAUGACCCCUUGGUGGCAUGCCCGGCCCUUUGGAGGCUGCCUUGGGAUCCAGGGACUAGCAAGCUCAGUUGGUAUUUUCACGAGUUUAGUGUUCUGCCAAGUUCAAGUUUAACUGCACUCAAUGACUGGCUUGAUUCUGAUGAGGACAAUGGUAGUGUUAGUAGUCAAUCAGAUGGAGAAACUGAUGAGAAGGUAUCUGCAAGACUAUCUUUGGACCAAGAGGAUUUGGAUGGUGAUGAUUUUCAGCAGCAAUGUGGUCUUCGUUCAUAUCCAGAUGAGUUUUACCUUUGCUCAGUUGCUCUUUGGGGGGCCUUAUUUGGUUUCCAUCUGAGAUGUGGUCAAGCCUGUUACAACUCCAAUUAUCUGGUCAACGAAGAUGUUCAUGGAGGGCCUUUAAUGAUCCAGCAUACAUGUCUUGAUCCUGGAGAUGAGCUGUUAAUUAGUACUAACCUUGUUGCUCUGGAAUCACAUAUGUUUCAACUAUCUGGCAGUGGCGAUGGACUGAAAUCAACAAGUGUUAGUAUUCAGGUAAUUAACCCAAUCAAGGAGAGAGCUGUGAAAUUGGUCAGACAACAGUUGUUGAUUCUUGAGCCUGGUGCUAGUAUAAUGUUACUAGAACUAUUUCCUCGACCUGAUGAUCACUUGACACUGAGGAUACUUGGUGCUGCACCUAUGAACGCCAGUUCAAAUUGCUUGUUGGAAGACAUUAAGUACAUACCUGAUAACUUGCCUGCUGCUCCUUGGUACUGUUCUGAAUAUCCCCAAUUGGAAAUUGCCAGGUCGAUUGAUUUCACAUGCUACACCAUUGCCAACAAGUACAUGCAACCAUUCCUUGCAGUACCAUUGUCACACGGUGCUCCUUACGUUACACCUUUUCCUGCUACAUACAACUUGUCUUUUACUUCGGAUGCAUUCUAUUGCAAUGGAAUGGAGUUAUGCUCUGCAAUGACAUGGUUCUAUAAAUCCGGUCAUUCUGCUGGGGUGAUAUAUGACCCUGAGGUUCUGAAUCCAUGGCCACCACCAUUGUACUUGAGUAUUCUGGCGCUCAGUUCCUUCAGAGGUAACAUUCGCACAGCAACCUCAGACUAUUAUUGGAAUAAUCAGUGUUGUUUCCAGCAUGUCCAAUGGAAAAUUAAUUGGUUUGCCCAGCCACUGUUUCCAAAAUCAGUGCAACUUUCUCUGUCGCAAUGGACGAUUGCUUGGUCGACCAGUGAUGCAUUAUUGAAGUAUGCCUUUCUGUUUUGCACUCCUAAAGGGGUUCCCUUUUAUGCUUCAAAACAAAUUCAGUGGGAAAAUGCUACUGAGAUUUUCAGGAAAUUGUUGCUUUCCAGCAUGGGUGAGGAAAUCCUUCCAGCCAACUCAAUUGUCGUCUGCUAUAAAAUUGUUGAUGUUGCUGUUUGGUCCAAGUUUGCUACAGGAUUCAAACAAAUAGAGGCAUAUUUUGUUGAGCACUGCAUGACACAGUGCAGAUAUGUGGGCUUUUCUCAUAGUGCCACUCUAGCACAUUUGCAGAUAUGGCAAGCUGCUUUUGUUGCUCUGUUCAGUUCCAAGGAGGCAAUGGAUCAAUCGUGGGUUUCCUAUUGUCAGAGAGUUUGCUCUGUUUCAGCUUGGUGGCGCGACAAUCUGGACAGUGUAAAUGAUGCUUGGUCACUUUGCUAUGACUGUUCUGCUAUCGACAAUAUCUCAAUGCGAUUCAUAUUCAAGUGUUCAGCAGCUGUGAUUUGGUGCACAUUAUUUCAAAUGCAUGUCGAGUUCGCUGCCAUAUAUCUGAAAAUCAUGGCCCAAUGCUCUACUCUUGAGUUGAUGAGCUGCAACCUUUCAGGAGCUCUAGCCUUUGACUUCUAUAAUGGCUGUGAGGUACAAUUGGUGUUUGAAUUUGCUCACUUGAUAAAAUGGAAGAUUGCUCCGGUGCUAUCUGCGGUGCAUACAGAUGAAGCCCACAGCGGCCAGUGUGUAUUUUUCACGGGAUUGCAUAAUUGGGACUCAGGUGAGAAGCUUCUUAGUUCGGUUCAGUGUGUUGUACGGACGCUUUGGGAUCCUGGUGGUUCCACAUUUGGUCGGCUUGAGGGCAAGCCGGAUUUUAAGGGGGAGGGAUUGUCAGCAACCUUCCCUACAUCUACUACCUGGACUGGACAGUGGGCCGCUCUUGGGCCAUGGGCCUGCGGAGAAGCCAUGGAAAGCAAUGACUACAUAUACGGGUGGAGAUGGAAACGAGCGACUCGGCUUGGAUCGGAAGGCUUCGGCCUGGCUUUGCUGGCUAGCGUCUCUCUCUCUCCUCUCUGGUUCCUCAUCGUCUCCCUCCUCUGA
rnacentral:rRNA from 1 species